AGAGUUUGAUCCUGGCUCAGAUUGAACGCUGGCGGUAUGCUUUACACAUGCAAGUCGAACGGCAGCACGGGGCAACCUGGUGGCGAGUGGCGAACGGGUGAGUAAUAUAUCGGAACAUGUCCGGAAGUGGGGGAUAACGUAGCGAAAGUUACGCUAAUACCGCAUAUGCCCUGAGGAGGAAAGGGGGGGAUCGCAAGACCUCUCGCUUUCGGAGUGGCCGAUAUCGGAUUAGCUAGUAGGUGAGGUAAAGGCUCACCUAGGCGACGAUCCGUAGCGGGUCUGAGAGGACGACCCGCCACACUGGAACUGAGACACGGUCCAGACUCCUACGGGAGGCAGCAGUGGGGAAUUUUGGACAAUGGGCGCAAGCCUGAUCCAGCCAUACCGCGUGAGUGAAGAAGGCCUUCGGGUUGUAAAGCUCUUUCAGCCGGAAAGAAAUCGCGCUUAUUAAUACUAAGUGUGGAUGACGGUACCGAAGAAGAAG
rnacentral:rRNA from 1 species